rfam:Langat virus, complete genome
AGGGCGCAUUCCGGCAGCACACCAGUGAGAGUGGUGACGGGAAACUGGUCACUCCCGACGGAGCUGCGCCUUGUGAAACUUUGUGAGACCCCU